rnacentral:sRNA from 1 species
GCUGGAAACAAGUGACACAUGCUUGUAGCCCCAGCUACUUGGGAAGCUGAGGCAGGAGGAUCCCUUGAGCCCAGGAGUUUGGGGCCAGCCUGGGCAGCAUAGUGAGACUCCAUCUUUU